rnacentral:lncRNA from 1 species
GAUAGUGCAAUGGGCUUCCUUUAAUUGGCAGAGAUUGAUUACCCGACCGUGUAUAAUAGAGAAACUUUUAAAGGCUGAGAAAAAUUUCUUUUGUGAGUAUGUACAUAACUUGUUCAUGUCCUCGGUGUUGGGAUGAGGUUUCUUGACUGGAGAGUAUGGGCUGGGGCUGGACAUUAUUUUAUUAUAGUUGACUAUUAUGAAUCGGAAAAAGAUUCUUAAGAGGAGUUAGAGUGAAGAACAUGAUUAUCAGAGAGAGGUUUGGGAAGGUAUGUGGAAAGAAUGACCAUUAUAUGAGUUCUGUUCAUCGAUUAAGAGUUUGAAUGGGAGUUUUAAAGGAGUGAAGGGGAAGAUGAAAGGAUGGAAAGAUGAAAGGAGGACUAAACUAAAGAAAGAUGAAAAGGGGUAAAGAGAAUGAGAUAACUGAUGUAAGUUAAAGGAUAGUAGAGGGGGAUAUUGGGAAGGUAAGAAUUUAUAGUGGAGGCAGGGGUGGCGUAUGAAGCGGUGAAAGUAAUGAUGACACUCCCUUUAUUUUUAAAACCAAUUUUCAAAACUUUGAAAGUAAAGCAGUAAAAAAAUAAAGAAUUUCCAAAGAUAAAACUCA